rnacentral:rRNA from 1 species
GUCCACGCCGUAAACGAUGUCAACUAGCCGUUGGGCCUUUUAACAGGCUUAGUGGCGCAGCUAACGCAUUAAGUUGACCGCCUGGGGAGUACGGCCGCAAGGUUAAAACUCAAAUGAAUUGACGGGGGCCCGCACAAGCGGUGGAGCAUGUGGUUUAAUUCGAUGCAACGCGAAGAACCUUACCUACCCUUGACAUCCAGAGAAUCUGUUAGAGAUAGCGGAGUGCCUUCGGGAACUCUGAGACAGGUGCUGCAUGGCUGUCGU